rnacentral:rRNA from 1 species
GAUCCUGGCUCAGAUUGAACGCUGGCGGCAGGCUUAACACAUGCAAGUCGAACGGUAACAGGAGAGAGCUUGCUUUCUUGCUGACGAGUGGCGGACGGGUGAGUAAUGCUUGGGAAUCUGGCUUAUGGAGGGGGAUAACGACGGGAAACUGUCGCUAAUACCGCGUAGAGUCGAGAGACGAAAGUGCGGGACCGCAAGGCCGCAUGCCAUAGGAUGAGCCCAAGUGGGAUUAGGUAGUUGGG